UACGUAGGGUGCGAGCGUUAAUCGGAAUUACUGGGCGUAAAGCGUGCGUAGACGGUUAUUUAAGUCGGGUGUGAAAGCCCAGGGCUCAACCCUGGAAUUGCUUUCAAAACUGUGAGACUAGAAUCCGGGAGAGGAUAGCGGAAUUUCCAGUGUAGUAGUGAAAUACGUAGAUAUUGGAAGGAACACCAGUGGCGUAAGCGGCUAUCUGGACCGGCAUUGACGCUGAGGCACGAAAGCGUGGGGAUCAAACAGG
rnacentral:rRNA from 1 species